GUAGGAAACUGAGACCUACGGAUUUAAGAUGUCCUCCGGGAAUAGCCCCGCAGAUCUUGGUCUCUAACCGGAGCUGCUCAUCCACGCUGACCAGCUACUCCAGGACUUUAACAGAUUUUUGUGCCCAAUUCUGGGCAAAGGUUAGGGCUCAGAUACCCACCUCUACUUCCAUCAGCCACAGCAGUGCAUCCAGGAGCCAGCCAGCAGCUCGAUGCCAUGUGGCCAGCCGUCGCUCAUGUGGCCAAUGCUGGAUGACUCUGAGAAAGAGGCGCAGGAGACCAUUACAAACACUGAGUGGAGGUGAGAAGAGCGCGGGGGCUGCAACUGGCACACGUAACGUGGCGCCCCAUGGACAGGUCCCCACCCGGAUCUCGAGGAUGCCAAAUAAUCCUGCGUUGUCAGUGGAUUCCAGCUUGGCAAGGCCUGCAUCGUGGUGAUCCGAAUGGUGGGUUUGCCAUCAAUGCCUCAACGAACUCUCAAUUCCCAAUGUCCAUAGCCUCCCAUCCACGAGCAUCGGUUGAGCGGCCAGACAUUCUGCAUAAACCUGGCACUGUGCUACUUAACUCAUAUUUUAUUUUCCUCAUUACUUGAUUCCCAACCCAAUGGUAAUAAUAGCUCAUCCUCGUGUCAGUAUACGCACCCUGAAGUUUUCUCCUACAGUUUUCUGCCGACAUGUAUUUCCUAAACCUGGCUCUCAUAUAUUUUAAAUGUGCUGUAUGCUGACAUUUCCGAACAACUUUCCGCCUAUGCAAUGUUUAUACUUAUACUCUUGUGGAAUGUCAUUAUCUAACACUAUCAAAAAUAAAGAAUAUAAAAAGAC